rnacentral:lncRNA from 1 species
GGUCAGGCAUAAGGCUGACAUAUAUGAAAGAGAUACCUCAAGUUACACUGAUACCUCCGCGGAUCUGAGCCUGGUACACGCUGCUCUCUUCUGCCCGCGGUGUCUGUCUAAUGUCUCCUUGGAAUGUCUCAUCUCUCUGUGUGUCAGUGUGAUUAGACCCGCCGAAGAAAGCUGUGAUUGGAUCCUGUGGGUUGCUUUAGCUCAGCACAUCAGAGUCUAAGGGUGCACCACUUCCCAUUCUUAUGCUUUUCUACCAUUAUUGUUAUCAUCAUCAUUGUCAUUGUCGUCAUCAUCACCAUCAUUAUCAUCAUCAUCAUUAUUAUUAUCAUUUAUGAAUUUUGGGUCUUGAUUGUGCAUAAAAUCCAUCUGUUAAAUGUUUGAGUACCCAGCCCAUGGGACUGUUGGGAGCUGGUGGGACACUUCUGAGAACAUUCUCAUCUGUCAUGAUGUCACUGGUUGAUAAAACACAUAAGACCACCAAGUCUAAUCACGUCUGUGGGUUUCCAAUGUGCUUUAUAGCUAAAGAAUUCCUGUCCCUGCGCACUUUCAAAGAUCACCAUACAGAGCAGGCAAGGAGAGACAGAUCUGUCAGCAAAAAGGGAGCCUUGAAGCAUACAGCUCUCUAACUUGAUGGAUAGUUGUGAAAUGUUUAAGAAGAGAUUAGAAUUAAACAACUGUCAACAUACAAGAUAUGAAUUUGGCUUCCUGGAUAUGAUUUUACUUUUUUAAGCAAAAUAAUAGGUUUGUGCUGAGAGAUAGAGAGGCGUUCUAUUGUGAAAUUCAAUUUGCAGAGAUUUAUGUCAGCCUGGUUGAAAGGAGAACAAUUAGGGUGGCAGUGCCAGUACUUUUCAAGAGGAUAUAUAAUGACUUUAGCCUACCUGUAUGCAAGAAAGCAUUGCAUUUCCAUAUAGAGAAAUGGAUAUUAUAUAUUAGAUAAGACCAACACAUCUCCACAGUGAUACUAGGUCACAGCAACAAUCACUUUUUAAAAAGAAUCAUAUCAAAGCAAAGACUUAUCAUGACAAGAGCAAAUACAUAAGACCUUAUGGUGAGGUUUUGAUUGAAGGACCAUGAUUGCAGACUAAUUCAAACUAAUGUGGUUACUGUUGUGGGAUUGCCUAGCAGCUUAAUACUUUCUUAGGGUCAAAAGACAAGGAAGAUACUGUUCUGAUUGUUAACUCCUAUGUCCUGACUUUUACCCAUCAUACUAUAUUAAAGCUGGGCAUGUAAGG